rnacentral:rRNA from 1 species
GACGAACCGUCCGAACGUUAUUCGGAAUCACUGGGCUUAAAGGGUGCGUAGGCGGCCCGGAAAGUUGGGUGUGAAAUCCCUCGGCUCAACCGAGGAAUUGCGCCCAAAACUACCGGGCUAGAGGGAGACAGAGGUGAGCGGAACUUAGGGUGGAGCGGUGAAAUGCGUUGAUAUCCUAAGGAACACCGGUGGCGAAGGCGGCUCACUGGGUCUUUUCUGACGCUGAGGCACGAAAGCUAGGGGAGCGAAGAGG